rnacentral:tRNA from 1 species
UGUCUUGUAGUAUAAUUUCUCCUAUUACUGUAAACUGCAACUUUACCAAAGCCUACAAUGCCAAGACAU